rnacentral:rRNA from 1 species
GAAUUUUGGACAAUGGGGGCAACCCUGAUCCAGCCAUGCCGCGUGCGGGAAGAAGGCCUUCGGGUUGUAAACCGCUUUUGUCGGGGAAGAAACGGUCUGCGCUAAUACCGCGGACUAAUGACGGUACCCGAAGAAUAAGCACCGGCUACCUACGUGCCAGCAGCCGCGGUAAUACGUAGGGUGCAAGCGUUAAUCGGAAUUACUGGGCGUAAAGCGUGCGCAGGCGGCUUUGCAAGACAGAUGUGAAAUCCCCGGGCUUAACCUGGGAACUGCAUUUGUGACUGCAUGGCUGGAGUGCGGCAGAGGGGGAUGGAAUUCCGCGUGUAGCAGUGAAAUGCGUAGAUAUGCGGAGGAACACCGAUGGCGAAGGCAAUCCCCUGGGCCUGCACUGACGCUCAUGCACGAAAGCGUGGGGAGCAAACAGG